AUUGAACGCUGGCGGCAGGCCUAACACAUGCAAGUCGAACGAGUGGCGGACGGGUGAGUAAUGUCUGGGAAACUGCCUGAUGGAGGGGGAUAACUACUGGAAACGGUAGCUAAUACCGCAUACCAUCGGAUGUGCCCAGAUGGGAUUAGCUAGUAGGUGGGGUAAAGGCUCACCUAGGCCACGAGGCAUAGCAGGCCUGAGAGGGUGAUCGGCCACACUGGGACUGAGACACGGUCCAGACUCCUACGGGAGGCAGCAGUGGGGAAUAUUGCACAAUGGGCGAAAGCCUGAGACAGCCAUGCCGCGUGUAGGAAGAAGGCCUUCGGGUUGUAAAGUACUUUCAGCGGGGAGGCGUUACCCGCAGAAGAAGCACCGGCUAACUCCGUGCCAGCAGCCGCGGUAAUUC
rnacentral:rRNA from 1 species